CUACGGGAUGCUCCAGUCGAGAAUAGUCUACAAUGGACGAAAGUCUGAUAGUGCGACGCCGCGUGGAUGAAGAAGCAUUUCGGUGUGUAAAGUCCUUUUCUGUGUGAGCAAUGUUUUCCAGGUUAAUAGCUUGGAGAAAGCGAUAUUAACACAGGAAUAAGCUCCGGCUAACUCCGUGCCAGCAGCCGCGGUAACACGGGGGGAGCAAGCGUUGUCCGGAAUUACUAGGCGUAAAGGGUAAGUAGGCGGAAUUGUAAGUCAGAUGUUAAAGGCACCGGCUCAACCGGUGUAUGGCAUUUGAUACUGUAAUUCUAGAGUAAGGUGGGGGAAGACGGAAUUCCUGGUGUAGCGGUGGAAUGCGCAGAUAUCAGGAGGAACACCAGAGGCGCAGGCGGUCUUCUAUACCAUUACUGACGCUCAAUUACGAAGGUGUGGGUAUCAAACAGGAUUAGAUACCCGGGUAGUC
rnacentral:rRNA from 1 species